CCAGAAGGGAGGAGAAGGAAAGACAACAGGCAGGGCAGGGCUCUCAGGGCACAGAUCCAGAGCAGUGGGAGGGUUGGGGUUCAACACAGGACCUGCUCAGCACAACCACAUGGCCGGAAUGGGAGGAGGACUUGUCUUACGCCACUGCUGCAGAACUCUAUCUCUUGUGGAACAAACCUCCUCAGGCUACAGUGAGCUCCAACACGUUACCAAACUGGAGACAGAAAGUGCGAAGGAGGCAUAUCUUCAGGAGAACGGGACCCAUCUUACAAUGAACCUAUUUAAGGUGAGUUCGUAAAUGCUCCAGUGGUAAGAGAAAGUUAUUUUCUUCUGUUAAGAGGGACUGCUUCUGUUGACCAGGAAGAUUUAGAAACAACUGGAGACUCAAAAGUCUAAGGC
rnacentral:lncRNA from 1 species